rnacentral:tRNA from 1 species
GCCCGGGUGGCUCAGUCGGUUGAGCAUCCGACUUCGGCUCUGGUCGUGAUCUCACAGUUCGUGGGUUCGAGCCCUACAUCGGGCU